rfam:Ciona savignyi cont_53832, whole genome shotgun sequence.
UCCUCGUUAGUAUAGUGGUGAGUAUCCCCGCCUGUCACGCGGGAAACCGGGGUUGGAUUCCCCGACGGGGAG